CUUUUUAUGGAUUUUAUUGCAAAAUUUCUGUAUUUAUUAUAUUCAUAUACAUAUAAAU
rnacentral:tRNA from 1 species